rnacentral:rRNA from 1 species
AACGAACGCUGGCGGCAGGCCUAACACAUGCAAGUCGAACGCCCCGCAAGGGGAGUGACGCACGGGUGAGUAACGCGUGGGAAUAUGCCCUUCGGUUCGGAAUAACACAGGGAAACUUGUGCUAAUACCGGAUACGAUCUACGGAUGAAAGAUUUAUCGCCGAGGGAGUAGCCCGCGUAGGAUUAGCUAGUUGGUGAGGUAAUGGCUCGCCAAGGCGACGAUCCUUAGCUGGUCUGAGAGGAUGAUCAGCCACACUGGGACUGAGACACGGCCCAGACUCCUACGGGAGGCAGCAGUGGGGAAUAUUGGACAAUGGGCGAAAGCCUGAUCCAGCCAUGCCGCGUGAGUGAUGAAGGCCUUAGGGUUGUAAAGCUCUUUCGCCAGGGAAGAUAAUGACGGUACCUGGAGAAGAAGCCUCGGCUGACUCCGUGCCAGCAGCCGCCGUAA